AAAAAAUUCAACUAAAAUUCCUCACAUACAUAAAUAUGCAAAAUUAUAUACAGUGUCCACCGACAAAGUCAUUAUGGAUGUGACAUGAAAAUAAUUUGUUGAAAUAUUAUGUGUGGGGAGUGUGUUGGAUUCAAUUAUGAGUAAGUGGCGUAAGUGCCAGCUAUAUCACUUCCUGGCUAUUGUUAUAAAAUUAAUGUUAC
rnacentral:lncRNA from 1 species